AUCGGCACCGCAACCCCAAAGGGAAUAAGCGGUAGGAAAAUGGAUAGUUUUGGACUUCUUUAGUUCCUGGUUGCACUUCCUUGUUUGUGUGGUCACCAUGGUUACUUAUGAUUUCCACCUGCUUCUGUUUGGUGGGACACACCUGUGUCCAAUCAAGAGAGAAUAUUCAAGCCUGCCUUCUUGAUCACUCGUCCUGGCUUCCUUGUUUGUGGUAAGCAACAGUCACAUAUUCCUGUCUGGACUCUGUGUUAAGUUGUUUCCUUGGCUUCCCGUGCGUUUGGCACGUUUUUCUUUUGUUUCUGUCUGUUUGGUACGGUUUAUUAUUUAUUAAAUCACAUCCUAUCUUUAUAGUUUUCAUCCGGAGUGUCCGUGUUGCAUUGGAGGAACGACCUCGCAUAAAGAUGCAAGACCCCCACGUGACAACCUGGACCAUCUACUCAUCUGUCACUGUCUUUGAGGCCGGUCCUGGCACGUCCUGUUCUGCAGCAGGCCUGCAGGCCACGCCCCCCUCCACACAUGUACAGGUCACUCCGGCAGCAUCCGGGGGGGACAGAGGCCCACGUCAAGGCAGAGAAGGUUCUGGAGUCAGGAGUGGGAGGUAUGAAGUGUGCAUGAGUCAGCAGUGUGGAGGCUGCAGACUAAAUGUGCAUGUGACUGUGAGCGCUGUCCGUGUAUUAUCAUGAUGAUGAUUAUUAUUAAAGAUGCGUGUAUUGGAACCCGUGACUGCUGUCCCCCGUGCUGGUGUCUCAAAGUGGACACUUAGAUCAGUGCCAGUGCAGCAGCCUCAGCAAAGUGGAGGCAAACUGCCCCCUAACGGCCACACGCGGAAUUGCACCUCACUGGAUUAUGCAAAGCAAUGUUUACUUAAAAAAAUGGAAGAAAUGUCAAUAAUUGGCAGCUUUUCAACAGUUUUUAUUCCACCAUUUUGAUUAUACACCCAAUGCAAAACAUAAACACACAUUUAUGAGCAAUUAGUGCAACUGAACAUUGUAAUAUAGUCAAGAAAGGAGGCUUUAGCAGGGCACACAAGCUAAUAAUAAUAAUAAAUACAGGAGAAUGUCUAUGUACAAUAUGACAGUCAGUGUGA